rnacentral:rRNA from 1 species
GAUGAACGCUGGCGGCGUGCCUAAUACAUGCAAGUCGAGCGAACGGACGAGAAGCUUGCUUCUCUGAUGUUAGCGGCGGACGGGUGAGUAACACGUGGAUAACCUACCUAUAAGACUGUGAUAACUUCGGGAAACCGUAGCUAAUACCGGAUAAUAUUUUGAACCGCAUGGUUCAAAAGUGAAAGACGGUCUUCCUGUCACUUAUAGAUGGAUCCGCGCCGCAUUAGCUAGUUGGUAAGGUAACGGCUUACCAAGGCAACGAUGCAUAGCCGACCUGAGAGGGUGAGCGGCCACACUGGAACUGAGACACGGUCCAGACUCCUACGGGAGGCAGCAGUAGGGAAUCUUCCGCAAAGGGCGAAAGCCUGACGGAGCAACGCCGCGUGAGUGAUGAAGGUCUGCGGAUCGUAAAACUCUGUUAUUAGGGAAGAACAUAUGUGUAAGUAACUGUGCACAUCUUGACGGUACCUAAUCAGAAAGCCACGGCUAACUACGUG